rnacentral:rRNA from 1 species
UACAGAGGUCUCAAGCGUUGUUCGGAUUCAUUGGGCGUAAAGGGUGCGUAGGUGGCGCGCUAAGUCAGGUGUGAAAUUUCGGAGCUUAACUCCGAAACUGCAUUUGAUACUGGCGUGCUUGAGGACUGGAGAGGAGACUGGAAUUCCUGGUGUAGCGGUGAAAUGCGUAGAGAUGUGGAGGAACACCGAUGGCGAAGGCAGCCUCCUGGGCCAGCACUGACGCUCAUGCACGAAAGCGUGGGGAGCAAACAGG